AUAAAAAUGAUAUUGUGAAUCACCGAGUUCAGGUUUCAAGUACCCGAAUUUGGGGGCGUCAUAGCAACUCUUAUGUCAUUGCGUAGCUCUCGAAAAGAGUUUUCCAGAAUGAUAUGACACAUCUUCAUAGGAUUCUCGGAUUGUAAGUUAUGAAAGUUUUAAGCAGCCUGUGCGCGGAUCGAGGUGCAAGUACUUCGAGACGGUGGGGCCCAAUGGGUAUUUCCGUAAGUGUACCUGCGGAAGCCAUAGGUGUACCUGCGAAAGAUUGGGCCUAUAAAUAUAGGCCCACAUCAUCUC
rnacentral:lncRNA from 1 species